GACGAACGCUGGCGGCGUGCUUAACACAUGCAAGUCGAACGGAAAGGCCCUGCUCUUGUGGGGUGCUCGAGUGGCGAACGGGUGAGUAACACGUGAGUAACCUGCCCUUGACUUUGGGAUAACUUCAGGAAACUGGGGCUAAUACCGGAUAGGAGCUCCUGCUGCAUGUUGGGGGUUGGAAAGUUUCGGCGGUUGUGGAUGGACUCGCGGCUUAUCAGCUUGUUUGUGGGGUAGUGGCUUACCAAGGCUUUGACGGGUAGCCGGCCUGAGAGGGUGGCCGGCCACAUUGGGACUGAGAGACGGCGCAGACUCCUACGGGAGGCAGCAGUGGGGAAUAUUGCACAAUGGGCGGAAGCCUGAUGCAGAAACGCCGCGUGCGGGAUGACGGCCUUCGGGUUGUAAACCGCUUUCGCCUGUGACGAAGCGUGAGUGACGGUAAUGGGUAAAGAAGCACCGGCUAACUACGUG
rnacentral:rRNA from 1 species